GACGGGGGAUGCAAGUGUUAUCCGGAAUCACUGGGCGUAAAGCGUCUGCAGGUGGUUUUCUAAGUCUACUGUUAAACCUUGAGGCUCAACCUCAAAUCUGCAGUGGAAACUAGGAGACUUGAGUAUAGUAGGGGUAGAGGGAAUUUCCAGUGGAGCGGUGAAAUGCGUAGAUAUUGGAAAGAACACCGAUGGCGAAGGCACUCUACUGGGCUAUUACUGACACUCAGAGACGAAAGCUAGGGGAGCAAAUGGG
rnacentral:rRNA from 1 species